AACAUGAUCGCUGCCCCGUAAAUAUCAAUCUAAAUUAGCCUUUUAAAUGGAUUUGACAUUGGUAACAUCUUCUAUGUCAAGGACAGUAGAAUGUGUCAUUGGAGGAUAUACGUGGUAUGAGAAAUCAGCAUCCUAAAAAGACAAAACAGUUACCUAGCUCUAUCAGGGGUUUUUUCAGUCUCACUCAGUUCUCCCUGUGUUUUGUGCCUGGGAUUUACCAGGCUGAAUACACCACUCAGCUGCUGGGAAAAGCCUUCCUGAGGCUCACCUAGCCACCUCUUUCAUUCCUCCCUUUGUACAGAAGAAUAACAGGAGAAAAAGGACCACCCAACUAUGACAGAGUGUAAGGUGAGCA